ensembl:lncRNA
GGGGGAGGGUGUAUAUGACAAACUCAGAGAUGAAGGUUAACAGGGAGCAGCUGCUUACCAAUUACGGCGUGAAAAACUCCCAAAGAGAUGUCAGGUGGCAAAGCUAGUUCUGCUGCUGCUUCAUUCGUGCUCAUGCUCAUUCGAAACCAACUCUUUGUGACUCCAUGGACUGUAGCCCACCAGGCUCCUCUGUCCAUGGGAUUUUCCAGGCAAGAAUACUGGAAUGGGUUGCCAUUUCCUCAUCCAGGGAAAUCUUCCAGACCCAGAGAUCGAACCUGCGUCUCCUGCAUUUGGGCUUCCCUGGUGGCUCAGAUGGUAAAGAAUCUGCCUGCAAAGUGGGAGACCCAGGUUUUAUCCCUGGGUCAGGAAGAUUCCCCAGGAGAAGGGAAUGGCUAUUCACUCCAGUAUUCUUGCU